rnacentral:rRNA from 1 species
CCUACGGGAGGCAGCAGUGGGGAAUAUUGGGCAAUGGGCGCAAGCCUGACCCAGCAACGCCGCGUGAAGGAAGAAGGCUUUCGGGUUGUAAACUUCUUUUGUCAUGGAAGAGUAGAAGACGGUACCUGACGAAUAAGCCACGGCUAACUACGUGCCAGCAGCCGCGGUCAUACGUAGGUGGCAAGCGUUGUCCGGAUUUACUGGGUGUAAAGGGCGUGUAGCCGGGUUGACAAGUCAGAUGUGAAAUCCUGGGGCUUAACAGCAGAACUGCAUUUGAAACUGUUGAUCUUGAGUACUGGAGAGGUAGGCGGAAUGUCUAGUGUAGCGGUGAAAUGCGUAGAUAUUAGGCGGAACACCAGUGGCGAAGGCGGUCUGCUGGACAGCAACUGACGGUGAGGCGCGAAAGCGUGGGGAGCAAACAGGAUUAGAUACCCCAGUAGUC